rnacentral:rRNA from 1 species
GAUGAACGCUAGCUACAGGCUUAACACAUGCAAGUCGAGGGGAAACGACAUCGAAAGCUUGCUUUUGAUGGGCGUCGACCGGCGCACGGGUGAGUAACGCGUAUCCAACCUGCCCAUCACUUGGGGAUAACCUUGCGAAAGUAAGACUAAUACCCAAUGAUAUCUCUAGAAGACAUCUGAAAGAGAUUAAAGAUUUAUCGGUGAUGGAUGGGGAUGCGUCUGAUUAGCUUGUUGGCGGGGUAACGGCCCACCAAGGCAACGAUCAGUAGGGGUUCUGAGAGGAAGGUCCCCCACAUUGGAACUGAGACACGGUCCAAACUCCUACGGGAGGCAGCAGUGAGGAAUAUUGGUCAAUGGGCGAGAGCCUGAACCAGCCAAGUAGCGUGCAGGAAGACGGCCCUAUGGGUUGUAAACUGCUUUUAUAAGGGAAUAAAGAGAGAGUCGUGACUCUUUUUGUAUGUACCUUAUGAAUAAGGACCGGCUAAUUCCGUG